UGGGGAAUCUUGCACAAUGGACGAAAGUCUGAUGCAGCAACGCCGCGUGGGGGAUGAAGCUUCUCGGAGUGUAAACCCCUUUCGACCCGGAAGAAUGCCCGCAAGGGUUUGACGGUACGGGUAUAAGAAGCCCCGGCUAACUACGUGCCAGCAGCCGCGGUAAUACGUAGGGGGCCAGCGUUGCUCGGAAUUACUGGGCGUAAAGGGUCCGUAGGCGGUGUGGUAAGUCGGGAGUGAAAUCUCUGGGCUUAACCCAGAGGCUGCUUCCGAAACUGCCGUGCUAGAGUGUGAGAGAGGCGAGUGGAAUUACGGGUGUAGCGGUGAAAUGCGUAGAUAUCCGUAGGAACAUCCGAGGCGAAGGCGGCUCGCUGGAUCACAACUGACGCUGAGGGACGAAAGCUAGGGGAGCAAACAGGAUUAGAUACCCUGGUAGUCCUAGCCCUAAACCAUCAGGACUUGGGGUGUGCCCUGUACGGGGCACGUCCCGUAGCUAACGCGUUAAGUCCUGCGCCUGGGGAGUACGGUCGCAAGGCUG
rnacentral:rRNA from 1 species